AAUUGGGCAAUGGGCGAAAGCCUGACGCAGCAAAUGCGCGUGCGGGAUGAAAGCCCUUAGGGUGUAAACCGUUUUCAGCAGGAACGAAAAAUGCCGGUCCCGGGGAAGAAAGAGCGGCCAAAUUCGUGCCAGCAGCCGCGGUUACAAGUAGGGGACAAGGGUUGGUUGGAAAUAUUGGGGGUAAAAGGGUAGUUAGCGGGUUAGUAAAGUGGGAGUUAAAAGCCUGGGCUCAACCUCCAAGGCCCCUUGAAAAUGGUGUGACUUGAGUUCAGGAGGGGAGCGGGGAAUUCCUAGUGUAGCGGUGAAAUGCGCUAGAUAUUAGGAGAGAACACCGAGUGGCGAAGGCGCCCGUCUACGGGAACUUAAACUGACGCGAGGAUGCGAAG
rnacentral:rRNA from 1 species